rnacentral:rRNA from 1 species
AGCGAAAGGUGCUUGCACCUUUCAAGUGAGUGGCGAACGGGUGAGUAACACGUGGACAACCUGCCUCAAGGCUGGGGAUAACAUUUGGAAACAGAUGCUAAUACCGAAUAAAACUCAGUGUCGCAUGACACAAAGUUAAAAGGCGCUUUGGCGUCACCUAGAGAUGGAUCCGCGGUGCAUUAGUUAGUUGGUGGGGUAAAGGCCUACCAAGACAAUGAUGCAUAGCCGAGUUGAGAGACUGAUCGGCCACAUUGGGACUGAGACACGGCCCAAACUCCUACGGGAGGCUGCAGUAGGGAAUCUUCCACAAUGGGCGAAAGCCUGAUGGAGCAACGCCGCGUGUGUGAUGAAGGCUUUCGGGUCGUAAAGCACUGUUGUAUGGGAAGAACAGCUAGAAUAGGGAAUGAUUUUAGUUUGACGGUACCAUACCAGAAAGGGACGGCUAAAUACGUGCCAGCAGCCGCGGUAAUACGUAUGUCCCGAGCGUUAUCCGGAUUUAUUGGGCGUAAAGCGAGCGCAGACGGUUAAUUAAGUCUGAUGUGAAAGCCCGGAGCUCAACUCCGGAAUGGCAUUGGAAACUGGUUAACUUGAGUGCAGUAGAGGUAAGUGGAACUCCAUGUGUAGCGGUGGAAUGCGUAGAUAUAUGGAAGAACACCAGUGGCGAAGGCGGCUUACUGGACUGUAACUGACGUUGAGGCUCGAAAGUGUGGGUAGCAAACAGGAUUAGAUACCCUGGUAGUCCACACCGUAAACGAUGAACACUAGGUGUUAGGA